rnacentral:lncRNA from 1 species
AUGCCUGGGGUGGGAGAGGGCAGAGGGGACAGGGGAGGAACAGGCAGCGUUCUGGCCUGCACCUGGGGGCCCACCUUGGCUGGAGGCACCUGGCUCCCGGUACACCAUGGUCUGGGCCUCCCAGAAGAGGCUCCCCUGGGACUUGCCCUGGCUCCAGAGCUGGGGCCUGACCUUGGGGGCCUGGACCCCACCACUGGACUUUCUCCUCCAGAGCUGGCCGCCAAGCCCCAGGUAGCAGCGCCGUCCACUCCGCGAGAACGGCCCACCUGCUGCGGUCUCCCAGCGGCUGGAUGGAGGACCCCAGCGACUGUCCUGGGGGUCCUCGCGCCAGCCCACCCUCAGCCCUCCCUUGUCCCCCCUCAGUCUCCUGGUGUCUGUGCCAGGCCAUCCUCCCACACAGCAGAGGGGCAGAGGCCAAGGCUGCAGCUAUGCCCUGGGACCCCAGGAAAAACUGAAGACAGGACCCUGGCUCCAUGGGACCGAGAAGGUCCCCAGGCAGCGGGGCACGGCCCUGGAACCCGCGCCGAGGCAGCCCCAUGGGGGGAGUGGGGGAGGGGAGGGCCUCUGUCCUCUGUUUCCUUGCUGGAGCAAAGCCCUGGGGUCGGACUUGGUCCCACCAGCGGGAUCCCUGGUGCUCAGCGGGUGCUCGGCCAGAAGCCAGAGCAUAUUUUUAGACAAGCUGUAGGUGGGGGGUGGGCAGGCGGGGGCCCGGGGGGAGGCUGGGCUGCCUGCCAGCCCCGAGGGCGCGGGAGGCAGCGGCAGGUGACCUUCAGCGGCCACCCCUGCCCUGGCCCGCGAGGUCAGGAGGGAGCCGAGCGCCCACGUGCUCCGAGGCUGGCCUGGGGCGGUCCCAGGAGCCUUUGCGAAGCCUGCAGCCCAGCUACUGCUCCCGAGGGCCAAUCCAUCGGGCGUCUGCCCUGGCGGCUGCCUGCUGGGCGCGGCCCGGGCACAGUGCAGAGUCCUGGGCGGGCUGGGACAGCUGCGAUCAGCCAGCUGAGCCUCUUGUUUUACAGUUGGGAGUGGACACAAGGCGGUGUGGCUGUCCAGGGUCACAGGGCCCGGGGAGGGGUGCGGGUGGGGGAUGUGCAGUGGAAACAUGAGAACACGUCGGGGGGCAUGCUCCAGGGGCCCAUGUGGGCGUCGGUUGGAGACCCGGCUGCUCUACUUCCAAUCCCGCUCCCUGCUAAUGCUCCUCGGAAAGCAGUAGAAGAUGCCCAAGUCCUUGGGCCCCUGCACCCGUGUGGGAGACCCCGAGGAAGCUCCUGGCUUCAGACCGGCCCAGCUCUGGCUGUUGAGGCUAUUGGGGAGUGAACCUACAGAUGGAGGAUCUCCGCUUUCUCUCUCUCUCUCUUCCUCUCUGUCUCUGUAAUUCUGCCUUUUCAAAUAAAUAAAAUAAGUCUUAAAAAAAAAAAACGCCU